UCUCUCGUUAACGCAUUCACUUGGCGCGAGCGUGACCGUGCCUCUUGAUUAUUUAUAUGGAUUAUUUAUAUGGGUUGACACAAUUAAAAACAUAUAAAUUGGUAUCUGUAUAAUUGGUAUAAUAUGACUUCCAACCAAGCUUCAGUCGCUGAUCAUACAAUGGUGUUGAGAGUCUUGUAUUUCUUCAGUUUUCUGGCUCUGUCAUUCUCUCAAAAUGGAAUUCUUGUUUUGAAUGAAACAAAAGCUGAAAAAGAUGAAACUUCAUAUCAGGUUUCCCUACAAAACAAAAAUAAUUCUGAUCACUUCUGUAACGGAUCAAUUCUGAAUGAAAACUAUAUCAUCACGGCAGCUCACUGCGUCGAAAAUAAACAAGCCGAAGAUGUAAGAGUAGUUGCUGGCACCAUCAACCUAAAUAAUUCGAAAUCAUUACAUAACGUCGAAGAAAUAAUUAUACACGAGAAUUACGAUCCAAAUGAUUCUUGGAUUAAUGAUAUAGCUUUAUUAAAGGUAACACCUUCCUUCGAAAACUCUACAACUAUCAAAACCGUUGAAUUGCGAUUAACAAAUGUUGAGAAUUAUGAUCCUGCUGUUGUGUCGGGAGGGGGAAGACUUUCGUAUUUAUAUAAAAAGAAUAUUAAUGUCACUUGGAAAACAGCAAAAUAUAAAUAUUAUUAUGAAAUUGCAGCGAACAAGCACAAACACUAAUAAGUUACAACGAGUCGACUUUUAUAUCGCUAAUCAUUCUUGUUACGAGCGGCAGUACCAGGAGCGUUUUAAAAUAAAGGUGUACCAAAAUAAGCAAGUUUGUGCAUACAAUUCGUCAAGCGAAGGAAACCAGGACUCUGGCGGCCCAUAACUAUCAACAAUAAACUCGUUGGAUUGGUAUCCUGGGCGUAUGGUUGUGGCGACCAAAUGUUCCCCAUUAUCUUUACCCGUGUCUUCAAUUAUUUGGAUUGGAUUGGCAAACAAGCGGUCUAAAACCCACUUUUUACAACAGUGAUUAGUAUUCUGUUGUGUGUUCUCAGUUCAACGCAAUUUUCUAUCUAUCUUUCUUAAAGUUGAGAAGAAAAGAUAUUUGUUUUAUGUAAAAAAUGCAUGAUCACGAUAUGAUGAACCUAGAUGAGUUAUUCAUAAUAGCUCAUCAAAAUUUUGUAAUGUUUUCAAUAAAAUAAAUAUUGAUUCAAUAAAAACAAUUAGGUCUUUUUU